UGGAAUGUAGCUCAGUGGUAGAGACCUUGCCUAGCAUGCAUGAGACCCUGGGUUCAAUUCCCAGCACCACAA
rnacentral:tRNA from 1 species